UACGUAGGGUGCGAGCGUUGUCCGGAAUUAUUGGGCGUAAAGAGCUCGUAGGCGGUCUGUCGCGUCGGUCGUGAAAACUUGGGGCUUAACCCUGAGCUUGCGGUCGAUACGGGCAUGACUGGAGUUCGGCAGGGGAGACUGGAAUUCCUGGUGUAGCGGUGAAAUGCGCAGAUAUCAGGAGGAACACCAGCGGCGAAGGCGGCGCUCUGGGCCGGAACUGACGCUGAGGAGCGAAAGCGUGGGUAGCAGACAGG
rnacentral:rRNA from 1 species